CACGUAGGGCGCAAGCGUUGUCCGGAAUUAUUGGGCGUAAAGAGCUCGUAGGCGGCUUGUCACGUCGGGUGUGAAAGCCCGGGGCUUAACCCCGGGUCUGCAUUCGAUACGGGCUAGCUAGAGUGUGGUAGGGGAGAUCGGAAUUCCUGGUGUAGCGGUGAAAUGCGCAGAUAUCAGGAGGAACACCGGUGGCGAAGGCGGAUCUCUGGGCCAUUACUGACGCUGAGGAGCGAAAGCGUGGGGAGCAAACAGG
rnacentral:rRNA from 1 species